CAAAUCUUAACACAGGCCUUUAUUCUUUAUGUAUUUAUUAUUACUCAGAGAGGAGUUGUUGGAAAAUGAUUCAACUUUAGUAAAAAAGUGUGAUGAAGAAUUGAGAGGAUUAUUAGAUAUGAGUCAAAAAUCCACCACUGAGGAAAUGCAGAAAGCCUUUCACAGACAACAGCAGCUAUAUGAAACUCUCUUCCAAAGCAAGAUGAAUAUCAUUCCUGAGCUUCAGCAGGAGCUGGAGAGUAAAAAUAAAACACAUUUAGACAUCUUGAAGAGGAAUGAAGAGGAUAUUAAUGUGAUGACUGAGCAGAUGAAGGAGCAAAUGCAACUGAAGGUAAAAGAGUACCGGGAAGAGCUGAUUCAAAAAG